GACGAACGCUGGCGGCGUGCUUAACACAUGCAAGUCGAACGGUGAAGCGCCUUCCUUUUUGGUGGGUGUGGAUGAGUGGCGAACGGGUGAGUAACACGUGAGUAACCUGCCCCCUUCUUCUGGAUAACCGCAUGAAAGUGUGGCUAAUACGGGAUAUUCUGGGUCUGUCGCAUGAUGGGUCUGGGAAAGAUAUUGUUUCGGUGGGGGAUGGGCUCGCGGCCUAUCAGCUUGUUGGUGGGGUGAUGGCCUACCAAGGCGGUGACGGGUAGCCGGCCUGAGAGGGUGGACGGCAACACGGGGAAUGAGACACGGCCCAGACUACGACGGGAGGCAGCAGUGGGGAAUAGUGCACAAUGGGCGGAAGGCUGAUGCAGCGACGCCGCGGGAGGGAUGGAGGCCUUCGGGUUGUGAACCUCUUUCGCCAGUGAAGCAGGCCUGCCUCGUUUGUGGGUGGGUUGACGGUAGCUGGAUAAGAAGCGCCGGCUAACUACGUG
rnacentral:rRNA from 1 species